rnacentral:lncRNA from 1 species
GAGAGAGAGAGAGAGAGAGAGAGUGGCAGAUUGAGUAGAGGCAGUGGUGGUAAGACACAAGGUUGGCACACCUACCGCAGGGCCGCUGGCAUAUCUGACUCUUUGGAGGGAGGGAGAGGAUGCCAGAAUGGAGGUGGUCAAUAAUUAUGGGGACAUUGGUUGAUGGGAAUUGACUUUUCCUCGUUAUAUGUUUAUAUCAAAUUGUGAUUAUUAGAAUGGAGAAAGGAGGAGGAGGAAGGAGAUGGUGGAGGUGCCGCACCUCCCUUUACCCAACCAACAAAAUGGUGUUGCCAUGAUGGAAGCUUGCUCAUGAACAUGUUAUCAAGGUGGCUUUUAUUUUUUAUUUUUGUCUUCAAUCUAAAUGCACUUCAAUUUAAUUUAAUUGAAGUCUAAAUAAUAUUUAAUAGCAUUAAGAAUUAAAUUAUUUGUUUCUCUACCAGCUUGUUUUAAGGCUAAAAUCAUUUAUUUUUUAAUCAUCAUUUUGUCUUAAUGAUGAAAAUUUAAACACUCUGUUUCUUAACGUCUCAAACCUUCACAAGUAGAUGGUAAUCAUCAUGCAUGUCAUCUCAUAUUCUACGGCUAAUAAGAGAGGAAGGAAACGCUCUCUUGGGUUUUGACUUGAGGUCAUGUCUUCAAUGUUAUUUUGUUUUGUUGGGUGGUUUUUGACAAACGAAAAUAAAACAAAUAAAUGUAUCUGAAAGUCCAACUCGCAUGAUGGAUGUGAAUAAAGAAUCGCAACUUGGAAGUUGAAUAGUGUAAAUAAUAUAUGUUUAUGAGGAAGAGUGGCUGGUUGAUUUGUCAUAUAUCCCUUCCCAGGUGAUUUUCAGAUAUCAAGCUCAUAAACCCACCCAAAAGAGAAGGUUUAAAUUUUCGAACAGUUUGUUUCCCAGGAAAGGCAACAAUUUUUCUGGCUUACCAAAGGGAGAAAUAGAUGAACAACAUGCAACAGAGCAGGACUAGGCAGGAUUCCGGCCCAGACAACUUCUGUGAAGAAACUGUCAAUAUGAUGAAUGGAUUAUGAACCUUUUUUUAAGGGAGAAAAAAAAAAGGCUAUAAAAAU